rnacentral:rRNA from 1 species
AUGAACGCUAGCUACAGGCUUAACACAUGCAAGUCGAGGGGCAGCAUUUUAGUUUGCUUGCAAACUGAAGAUGGCGACCGGCGCACGGGUGAGUAACACGUAUCCAACCUGCCGAUAACUCCGGAAUAGCCUUUCGAAAGAAAGAUUAAUACCGGAUAGCAUACGAAUAUCGCAUGAUAUUUUUAUUAAAGAAUUUCGGUUAUCGAUGGGGAUGCGUUCCAUUAGUUUGUUGGCGGGGUAACGGCCCACCAAGACUACGAUGGAUAGGGGUUCUGAGAGGAAGGUCCCCCACAUUGGAACUGAGACACGGUCCAAACUCCUACGGGAGGCAGCAGUGAGGAAUAUUGGUCAAUGGGCGAGAGCCUGAACCAGCCAAGUAGCGUGAAGGAUGAAGGCUCUAUGGGUCGUAAACUUCUUUUAUAUGGGAAUAAAGUUUUCCACGUGUGGAAUUUUGUAUGUGCCAUAUGAAUAAGGAUCGGCUAACUCCGUGCCAGCAGCCGCGGUAAUACGGAGGAUCCGAGCGUUAUCCGGAUUUAUUGGGUUUAAAGGGAGCGUAGGUGGAUUGUUAAGUCAGUUGUGAAAGUUUGCGGCUCAACCGUAAAAUUGCAGUUGAAACUGGCAGUCUUGAGUACAGUAGAGGUGGGCGGAAUUCGUGGUGUAGCGGUGAAAUGCUUAGAUAUCACGAAGAACUCCGAUUGCGAAGGCAGCUCACUAGACUGUCACUGACACUGAUGCUCGAAAGUGUGGGUAUCAAACAGGAUUAGAUACCCUGGUAGUCCACACAGUAAACGAUGAAUACUCGCUGUUUGCGAUAUACAGUAAGCGGCCAAGCGAAAGCAUUAAGUAUUCCACCUGGGGAGUACGCCGGCAACGGUGAAACUCAAAGGAAUUGACGGGGGCCCGCACAAGCGGAGGAACAUGUGGUUUAAUUCGAUGAUACGCGAGGAACCUUACCCGGGCUUAAAUUGCAACAGAAUAUAUUGGAAACAGUAUAGCCGUAAGGCUGUUGUGAAGGUGCUGCAUGGUUGUCGUCAGCUCGUGCCGUGAGGUGUCGGCUUAAGUGCCAUAACGAGCGCAACCCUUAUCUUUAGUUACUAACAGGUCAUGCUGAGGACUCUAGAGAGACUGCCGUCGUAAGAUGUGAGGAAGGUGGGGAUGACGUCAAAUCAGCACGGCCCUUACGUCCGGGGCUACACACGUGUUACAAUGGGGGGUACAGAAGGCGGCUACCUGGUGACAGGAUGCUAAUCCCAAAAACCUCUCUCAGUUCGGAUCGAAGUCUGCAACCCGACUUCGUGAAGCUGGAUUCGCUAGUAAUCGCGCAUCAGCCAUGGCGCGGUGAAUACGUUCCCGGGCCUUGUACACACCGCCCGUCAAGCCAUGAAAGCCGGGGGUACCUGAAGUACGUAACCGCAAGGAGCGUCCUAGGGUAAAACUGGUAAUUGGGGCU